rnacentral:tRNA from 1 species
GGGGAUAUAGCUCAGAUGGAAGAGCGCUUGCAUGGCAUGCAAGAGGUCAGCGGUUCGACCCCGCUUAUCUCCA